CCCGCGGACCGGCCCCUGGAGCUGUGGGCGGCCGCCGUGUGUCCUGCCGCCGCCGCCACCGCCACCAUGCCGGGCAUCGACAAGCUGCCUAUUGAGGAGACGCUGGAGGACAGCCCGCAGACAAGGUCAUUACUGGGUGUAUUUGAAGAGGAUGCUACAGCUAUUUCCAACUAUAUGAACCAGUUGUAUCAAGCUAUGCAUCGGAUUUAUGAUGCACAGAAUGAAUUAAGUGCAGCAACACACCUGACUUCAAAACUUUUAAAGGAAUAUGAAAAACAGCGGUUUCCCUUAGGAGGUGAUGAUGAAGUUAUGAGCUCUACAUUACAGCAGUUUUCAAAAGUUAUAGAUGAGCUUAGCUCUUGUCAUGCGGUUCUUUCAACUCAACUUGCUGAUGCCAUGAUGUUCCCUAUUACCCAGUUUAAAGAAAGAGACCUGAAAGAGAUACUGACAUUAAAGGAAGUGUUUCAGAUUGCCAGUAAUGAUCAUGAUGCUGCAAUUAACAGAUACAGCCGAUUGUCAAAAAAAAGAGAAAAUGACAAGGUGAAGUAUGAAGUAACAGAAGAUGUGUACACUUCCAGAAAGAAACAACACCAGACGAUGAUGCAUUAUUUUUGUGCAUUAAAUACUCUUCAGUAUAAGAAGAAAAUAGCAUUGUUAGAACCUCUACUUGGGUACAUGCAAGCUCAGAUAAGUUUCUUUAAGAUGGGUUCUGAAAAUCUCAGUGAGCAACUGGAAGAAUUUUUAGCUAAUAUUGGAACAAGUGUCCAGAAUGUUCGCAGGGAAAUGGACAGUGAUGUAGAAACAAUGCAGCAGACAAUAGAGGAUUUGGAAGUAGCCAGUGAUCCCUUAUAUGUGCCUGACCCAGAUCCCACCAAAUUUCCUGUUAAUCGAAACUUAACCCGAAAGGCUGGAUACCUUAAUGCUAGGAAUAAAACAGGCUUGGUGUCAUCUACCUGGGACAGACAGUUUUACUUCACGCAGGGUGGAAACUUAAUGAGUCAAGCGCGUGGGGAUGUUGCAGGUGGCCUGGCCAUGGACAUAGACAACUGUUCAGUGAUGGCUGUGGACUGUGAAGACAGGCGAUACUGUUUUCAGAUCACCUCUUUUGAUGGGAAAAAAUCUUCAAUUUUGCAAGCAGAGAGUAAAAAAGACCACGAAGAGUGGAUCUGCACAAUAAAUAACAUAUCUAAACAAAUAUACUUAACUGAAAAUCCAGAGGAAAUUGCUGCCCGAGUAAAUCAGUCUGCUCUGGAAGCUGUCACUCCUUCCCCAUCUUUCCAGCAGAGGCAUGAGAGCCUGCGGCCAGCAGGACAAUCUCGACCACCAACGGCUCGGACCAGCAGUUCAGGAUCCUUAGGGUCUGAGUCAUCAAAUUUGGCUGCCCUGUCUCUGGAUUCUCUUGUUGCCCCGGACACCCCAAUUCAGUUUGACAUAAUUUCUCCUGUGUGUGAAGAUCAGCCUGGCCUGGCAAAAAACUCUGGCCAGGGAGGCAGGCGUACAAAUCCAUUUGGAGAAUCUGGAGGAGGUACAAAGUCUGAAAGUGAAGAUUCUAUUCUUCAUCAGUUAUUUAUUGUUCGAUUCCUUGGUUCUAUGGAAGUGAAAUCUGAUGACCAUCCAGAUGUUGUUUAUGAAACUAUGCGCCAGAUCUUAGCUGCCCGGGCCAUCCAUAACAUCUUUCGUAUGACAGAAUCCCAUUUAUUAGUCACUUGUGACUGUUUAAAGUUAAUUGAUCCACAGACACAAGUUACAAGGCUCACGUUUCCAUUACCCUGUGUAGUUCUGUAUGCUACACACCAGGAGAACAAGAGACUGUUUGGAUUUGUUCUUCGGACAUCAGGAGGGAGAAGUGAAAGUAAUCUGUCAUCAGUUUGCUAUAUUUUUGAAUCAAACAAUGAAGGAGAAAAGAUUUGUGAUUCUGUUGGAUUGGCAAAACAAAUAGCUUUGCACGCUGAACUGGAUCGUAGGGCAUCAGAAAAGCAAAAAGAAAUGGAGAGAGUAAAAGAGAAGCAACAGAAAGAACUUAGUAAACAAAAGCAGAUUGAAAAGGACUUGGAAGAACAGAGUCGUUUAAUAGCUGCUUCCAAUAGACCAAACCAAGCCAGUAGUGAGGGGCAGUUUGUUGUCCUGAGCAGCAGCCAGUCAGAAGAGAGCGACUUGGGAGAAGAAGGAAGGAAGAAAGAAUCAGAAGCAUAGCCUUUCUCUGGAUUUUUGAUUGGUAUUUCCUCCCUUGGAGUUGGUCGAUUUCUGUGGUGAAAUGGCACAAGGUUCUACGCCUGAUGCCAGUGGGAAAGAAGUUGGACAGACAGUGGCGCUGUAUUAUCACUUCUUAGUUCUCAGGUUGGGACUUCAACUAUUGCUGCAGAGCGGUAAUGGUUAAGAUAAGAUUUGAGUCUAUUAAAAAAUUUUUUUUUCUGUUAAAAUACAUUUUAGAGUAGGACUGACACUUUUAUAGGGUAAUACAUUGUAAUUUUUUGCAUUGUAGGAAUAAUUUUUAUUGAUAAAUGUCAUUUCAAAAAAAUUCUUUAACAGUUAUGUUUACUGUGUAAAGGAAAAAUUUCCAGAGUUUAGUUUAGAAAAUCUUUCAUAAUUUCAGGCUGAUAUUCUCCAUAUUUUCAUAACCCUAUAUUUAGAUAAAGUACUAAAUUAAAUCAUGUUAUAGCCACAAAGCCAUGUUUGAGAGUAGAACAAAUUGCACUAAUUAUGGUAAAUACCUCUGCUCUGCAAAUGAGUAAAAGGUCUUAAUUUCAUGAAAGGAUUGAAAAGAAAAUGAAUGUUUGGUAUAAUAUAGGAAAUGUAGACCAAGGAAGAAUUUUAGCCUGGUGCCAAGGUUAAAGUGCCAUUUCUGUAUUGCCGGUCUUUGGUCAAAACUUGAUUUCUUUAGUCUGAUUUUUAUUGUUGCUGAUAGAAAUUAUGCUCGUAUGUCUCAUUUAACUUCUACAAGUUUAACAUGUUAAAAUAUUUUCCAUAGUCAUAUUUACACAUUUUCCAGAGGUUAAGUUACUAAGACUAAUUUUACACGAGAAAGUCUUUUCUAGUUUUUUUUCAGUUUGCAAUGGCAUUUGUGUUAAGUCUCAGAAUAUACUCAGUUGUUUCAAGCUUUGUUAUACAUUGUUUUCUGUAGGAAUGGAAUAAUCUUAUGUGGGAUUAUGACCUUUUUUAACCAUGUGCCAAAUGGGAAGGAUAGUUAAUAAAGCCCUACAUGCUUAGAUGGAAGCUGUGG